GACGAACCGUGCAAACGUUGUUCGGAAUCACUGGGCUUAAAGGGCGCGUAGGCGGUCGACCAAGUCCGGGGUGAAAUCUUUCGGCUUAACCGGAAAAGUGCCUUGGAUACUGGCCGGCUGGAGGGAGGUAGGGGGCAGGUGGAACUUCCAAUGGAGCGGUGAAAUGCGUUGAUAUUGGAAGGAACGCCGGUGGCGAAAGCGACCUGCUGGACCUCUUCGUGACGCGUGAG
rnacentral:rRNA from 1 species